GACGAACCGUGCGAACGUUGUUCGGAAUCACUGGGCUUAAAGGGCGCGUAGGCGGGUCGGCAAGUCCGGGGUGAAAACCCCCAGCUCAACUGGGGAAGUGCCUUGGAAACUGCCGGUCUCGAGGGAGGUAGGGGCAUGCGGAACUUCCGGUGGAGCGGUGAAAUGCGUUGAUAUCGGAAGGAACGCCGGUGGCGAAAGCGGCGUGCUGGACCUUUUCUGACGCUGAGGCGCGAAAGCCAGGGGAGCGAACGGG
rnacentral:rRNA from 1 species